AUAAAAUCCCAAGACCUAAUUGUUUUUCCUUAGUUAGAUAGAGCCAUACCCAGGUGCACUAAGCCAUUUGACUUGUUCUCAUUGUUCUGUUGUUGUUGUUGUUGUAUUUCUUUAAACAAAUGUUGUGCUUGAGAUAAUGUGCCUUCUAUAACACUAUGCACAUAAGAAUACUGCAAAAAGUACCGAGCAUCGCUGGAGAUUUACAGGACGUGUCCUCCUGACAUGAAUGAAUCAAUCAUACCAAGAGUUGCGAUGACAUGGAGGCCAACACGAGUAAAGCGCAAACCGGGACGUCCUCGUAUAACUUGGCGCCACACCUUCAUAGAGGUCAAUACGAGGAAAGCGCAAACAGGAACGCUCUCGUAUAACUUGGCGCCACAAUUUCAUGGAGGCCAACACGAGAAAAGCGCAAACCGGGACGUCCUCGUAUAACUUGGCGCCACACCUUCAUAGAGGUCAAUACGAGGAAAGCGCAAACAGGAACGCUCUCGUAUAACUUGGCGCCACAAUUUCAUGGAGGCCAACACGAGAAAAGCGCAAACCGCGACGUCCUCGUUUAAACUUGGCGCCACAAUUUCAUGGAGGCCAACACGAGAAAAGCGCAAAGCGGGACGUCCUCGUAUAACUUGGCGCCACAAUUUCAUGAUGGAACUCAGCGCAGUGGACACCGGCUGGGAGGAGGCUUUUAAGACGUCGCGAGAGACAGAUCUCUUUGGAGACAGCUUGCUGCUCAAUUCGCCAAACGCCGCUGGAGGAUCUGAGAUGAAAAGAUCUAACCACCAGCUGUACCACAGACAAAAACAUCAAUUAGGCUGAUUCGACUUUGUAAAGAAGAACACAAUGGCUGCACAUGUUAGGAAAGCUAAAUAGAGGAACUGAAGACCCUUAUCAUUUGAGAUGGGAAUCUACCAAAUCACUAAAUUUAGAAAGCCUUCAGGACAGAAGACUUAAAAGUAAAGUAGCAAUUAUACAUAAAACACUGAAUCAUAAUCUUCAAAUACAAAAACAAAAUUUAAUAAAAUACUCUGAAAGACACAAAGGCACAUUCCUCGUCCCAUAUGCUAGGACAAAUUUGUACAAAUACUCCUUCUUCCCUAGUGAUAUUUGAGCAUGGAAUGGGUUGCCUGAGCUAGCCAGGAAAACCAGUGACUUGGCAGAAUUUAAGUCAUUGGUUAAUAUGCAUGACUGAAUGCAUGACGCGUAGGACGUAAUCAACUUCUUUUUUGAAGUAACGUCUGUAUUAUAAAAGAUAAGAUAAGAA